GGUCUUGUAGUUUAUUAAAAAUACUAAGUUGCAGCCUUAGUGAAGGGGGUUUCCUCAAGGCUU
rnacentral:tRNA from 1 species